CAGGUGCAUUAUGGGGCUUUCUGGGGCCAGUUUGGGGUUCUUUGGGGGCCUUUUUGGGGCUCUCUGGGGUCAUUUUGGUGCCCUCCAGGUGCAUUUUGGGGUUUUCUGGGGCCAGUUUGGGGUUCUUUGGGUGCAUUUUGGGGCUUUCUGGGGCCAUUUGGAGGCUUUUUGGGGCUCUUGGGGGGCAUUUUGGGGCUCUUUGGGGGCAUUUCAAGGCCCUCCAGGUGCAUUUUAG
rnacentral:lncRNA from 1 species